rnacentral:misc_RNA from 1 species
GGUUUCCGUAGGUGAACCUGCGGAAGGAUCAUUAACACGUAUCCAACGUUAAACUCCCUGUGAACCUUCAUUGUACGAGUUACAUCCACGUCAUAAACCGGCAAUCUCUGGUAAAUCAUCGCCGAACAGUUUUGAUUCAGAGACCUCUGGGAAGGGUGUACGGUAGUGCGAGGCAUUCCUCUGCUUGUUAGUGUCUGAAAGUGUCACUAGCUAUGUACGGAUGGCGCAGGAACGAUCGCUGGAGGCCGACACGGCCGGCGACCAGGUCACUGGGCUACGGCCCCCCUGAUCACAACCUUUGCAUGAAAACGGGCCUGCGCUGAGGUGCGGCCACCCCUAAUGCUUGAACAACUGUUAACAAUGGAUAUCUUGGUUCUC